rnacentral:misc_RNA from 1 species
GUAAGGGGUGUCACAUGACAUCUACUUCUUGACUCGACAUCCUUCAUGUGAGUGGAGCCUCGCAGCAUCAUUUUAUGUUUUCCAUCACUACCAUGAGGUAUGCCAUUGUAAAAUCUGAAUGCUUUUCUCGUGCUGCUGGUAGAUUUUCGGACACACAAAUAUUCCCAUCUUCUCUUUAUUCUUUUUCUGACAAUUAAAGCGCUCUGCUAAAUGUUGUCUG